rnacentral:rRNA from 1 species
UGGGGAAUAUUGGACAAUGGGCGAAAGCCUGAUCCAGCAAUGCCGCGUGUGUGAAGAAGGCCUUAGGGUUGUAAAGCACUUUCAGUAGGGAGGAAGGGUACAAUGCUAAUACCAUUGUGCAUUGACGUUACCUACAGAAGAAGCACCGGCUAACUCUGUGCCAGCAGCCGCGGUAAUACAGAGGGUGCUAGCGUUAAUCGGAAUUACUGGGCGUAAAGCGUGUGUAGGUGGUUAGAUAAGUUAGAUGUGAAAUCCCCGGGCUUAACCUGGGCACUGCGUUUAAGACUGUUUAGCUAGAGUACUGUAGAGGAUAGUGGAAUUUCCAGUGUAGCGGUGAAAUGCGUAGAUAUUGGAAGGAACACCAGUGGCGAAGGCGACUAUCUGGACAGAUACUGACACUGAGACACGAAAGCGUGGGGAGCAAACAG